GCCAGUAUGGUGUAAUGGUUUGAAUGUUGGACUACUAUUCUGGAGACCAGGGUUCAAAUCUCUGCUCAGCCA